CAUUUCCUUUGAAAUGGAGAGGCCUCCAGUACACGGUCAGGAUUUUUCUGAAAAUGAUCCACGCUCAAAAACUGGACACGUCAUAAACUUAACCCACAUAAACUUAACCCAAACCACAUGAACUUAACCCAAGGUUAGAUCAGCCUAUUCUUUUCUCUCACCAACCCAUCUGAAAUUUCAAAGUUCAAACUCUCAUCUCCAACUCUCAUCUCCGAGGAUUUUCUCUCAUCUCCAACCCAAGGCCUUGCGCAAUCUUUUUGAGAGUUGAGGCACAGAGUAACACAGAGAUUUUGGAAAGAGAAAAGAGAAGAAAAAAAUGAAUACCCCUCACGGCACCGAUCCAAGCAGAGAUUUUGUCGUAUCAUCCGAUCCAAGCAGGAAGCAUUGACGGCACUGAUAUUCUCCCUCACGACAACGCCAUUUACAGAGCCCACCUCUGCGCCUCUGCUGGACUCUGUAUAUAUACCCCUCUCUCUCUCCUCCAAUUCUCACAAUUCCAAUUCUACCCAUCACUUUUCGCUCUUUUUGCAGAUGACCCCUUUGGCGAUCGCAAGGUCAUCGGAGACCCUUACUGCACCGUCUUUGUCGGCCGCCUCUCUCGCCACACCUCCGAAGACACUCUUCGCGAGGCUAUGAGCGAGUAUGGGCGGGUGAAGAACUUGCACUUGGUCAGGCAUAUUGGUUUCAUUGAUCCUAAUCAUCAGUAAUUUGGAAGGACCUUUGGAGCUAUGAUACAUCCCAAAGCUUUGAUACCAAAGCAUCAUACAUUCAUACCAAGAGAUGGGGCAAGUUGGAUGGAAUGUAUAAUUAGCUAUUUCUGAAAGCUGGAGUCAUGUGAUGGUAAAGGGCGACUCAAAAAUUUGCUUCGACUCAAUUGCGGGCAAGUACCAGUCCGUGGAUUGGUCCAUUUCUACUUUGACUGAUAAUAUUCGUAGUUUAGCUGUGUUGUUUGCUGUUUGCUCGUUUAGCUGGAUCAAUAGGAGUUGUAAUGGCGCAGCUCAUGCUGCUGCCAAGUUAGCUUUAGGUUCUUCCUCUCCUUUUUGUUGUAAUAAUGGCAAUCUUCCGGCUGCUUUGCAGUCAGCUUGUAAGGUUGAUUGCCCCUCUCUUGUUUUUCCUGUUUUGGUUUAAUACUACUAUAGCUGAUUAUCAAAAAAGAAGCAAGAGGUAGAAUUCUUGUUAGGGCUCUUGUUCUAAUAGUCUUGUAAUCAAAGUGUACAUUUCAAUAAA